CCCAAAAUCUGCCGCAAAAACGUACAAAAAUUUGUUGGAUUCUGUUCGUCGUUACUAUCUUUCUACAUACUUCCAAAUCCCAUCUCCAUUUUCUGUUCGCUUACUCUGAUUUCUCUCUCUACGUCUGGCCUUUUGAGGUAAGGUUUCUCACCACAAAUUAGGGCAUUUUUAAGGAUAAAAAGUGUGAUUUUUUUAGUUAAUGGAGGCCGCCCCCGGUGCUACUGCCGCGGUGCGCAAUGGCGGGGUUGCGAUGCCGGCUUCUUCCUCGUUUGAACCUUCCCGCGACGAGUGGCGCGUAGUAUCUGAGCAAUCGGUUAGAAGCUCCGGUAACGAGGAGCUGGAGCGCUCAAAAGUAGGUCGAUCGGAUGAGAGAUUAAUAUACGAGGUGCAGCAUGGAAGAAGGCAACUCGAUGUUGAUUUUCACUCGAUCGCGAUUGAUGGGGGUCUGGAUAAUGAUAUUUUGCAGCAAAGACUUCACAAUGUAGUGGAAAAAAGGGAGGAGUUGCAGAACAUGGAGCUUGAACUUCGAGCCCAAAUAUCCGCACGAUCUGAAGUUGCGAGAUUGCAUAAUACAUUUGAUGGUCAGAUAAAAGAGCACAUGAAUGCCAAUGUCAAACUGCAGGAACAACUGCAUGAAAAGGAACAGAAGAUAUAUGAGUUGGAGAGAAGGAUGGAUGAAAAGGAAAGAGAAUUACAUGCUAUCAGAUUGGACAGUGAAGCGGCUUGGGCCAAAGAGGCUCUUUUAAGGGAACAAAACAACAAGCUCCAGAGCUACAUGAUGGAGAGGGAUAAUGUCGAAGCUGAUAGAGCACAGCAUAUUAAACAAAUUCAUGAUCUUCAGGAACAUAUUCAAGAAAAAGAGCGCCAGUUCCUUGAAUUGCAGGAACAGCAUAGGAUUGCUCAAGAAACUGCCAUUUUUAAAGAUGAGCAGAUAAGGGAUGCACAAACUUGGAUAUCUCGUGCUCAGGAAAUUGAUGCAUUGCAAACAUCCGCUAAUCACACCUUACAAUCUGAACUGAGAGAACGAACAGAACAGUAUAAUCAGUUGUGGCUUGGCUGUCAAAGACAGUUUGGGGAAAUGGAAAGGCUUCAUUUGCACGUACAACAGCUCCAGGUUGAAAUGGCCGAUUCAAGAGAAAAGAGUAGAAACCAAUCAGAUGUGUCUCAUGUUUUGCAUACAAAUUCAAAUGACGCGUCUCGACUUGAACAUGCGAAUGGUAUCCAGUUGGAGGUGAAUGAUCGCAACUCACCCGCUGUAAACACUGGUAGCUUAGAAAAUGGAAAUUCUGAAACUUCUGGAGGGACCACUGUAACACAGAAUGACCAAGUUAAUGGUGUUCCAUUUGCUCGAUCAUCCAUGUUUAGUAUGCCGGCCUACCUUCCAACUGCAUUGCAUCCAUUUGUAAUGCAACAUGGUGUACCUCAUCCCUCACAAGUCACACAGUCUCCUUUGUCAUUAUCCGGUAUGCCAUUGGUGCAAAAUUGGCAGAGCCAGCAGUAUCCUGAGCAAACUGAAGGAAAUUUGUCUAGGACAGAUUCUCAUUUUGACCAUGAAGCAUUAGCCGUAAAUGAGCAUGCUCAUCGUGCAAACUAUGUGGAUGCAAGCAUCGAUUCACAGCUAGAUGCUGCUGAUUCUGUGGUUCCAUCACCAAAUGGAGAGGUAGAGGUGCAUGACUCUAUAGAUGAGAGCCAUGACAAAGCCCAAUCUCAGCUGAACUUGCAGCAAAUAUCAUCCCAGUUUCAUGAGGCUCUUAGAGUGGAUCCCCUUGAUAAUGGCAACGACGAUAAGGAGAAGAAAGGCACACCUGUAACUAGUCACAGCAUGGAUGACAGAAAUGCAAUGAUGGAACAUCCUAGUUUUGCAAUCAAUGCAUCUUCAUCAGAAGGACAAACCCGUGCUGUUAAUUUUAGCGAAACAGCCUCAUGUACUGCCUCAAGUGAUGCUUCAACCAUUGCCUUUGCUUCCAUGGAGCAGAAGAGUAAUAUAGCUGGAAAUCUUGGGGAAAGUUAUCUAUUGGACGAAAGAGCAUUGCUGGCUUCUAUAGCUCGUGCUAUAGGAUCUGGUGGCAGGACCAGAAUUAGUUCAACUCUUCCAAAUAGACUUGGAAAAAUGCUUGCACCUCUUCACUGGCAUGAUUAUAAAAAGAAGUAUGGGAAGCUUGAUGAUUUUGUGGGCAAUCAUCCUGAUUUAUUUUUGAUCGAGGGAGACUACAUUCAGCUACGAGAAGGUGCACAGAAAACCAUAGCAGCCACAGCAACUGCUGCUAAAGUGGCCGCUGCAGCUGCAGCUGCUCCAUCUUCUUUCACAUCACUGACUCCUUCUGUAGCAGUUACUCCCAUGGCACAUUCCCACAGAUCGAAAAAGUUCUCAGCAUUGCAAAGUCAGAACUUGAACGGCAGCAACUUUCAUGUUGCUGGAGGAGUCUCAAAUGGUAUUUUGAACAAAUCAAAUGCCGAACCGAAGAGCUCAGUUGGCAAUGGGAUGUGCCCUGACAGAAUUGGUUAUCAUCAAAGCAAGGGUCCAUCUCACGGGAAGCCUGGUAUGACCAUGGCUGUGCAAAAACCGAACAACAGGACAACUACUGCUGCAUCAAGUCCCAGAAGAUAGUAAGUACGCGUAUAUUUGGAUUGUGCUGUUUUCUUACAAACAGAGACCUUUGCUUGUGAAUCUCCUGAUGGCAUAAACUAUCACUUACAUAUGAUCCAAGGAUGAAGAAAAGCAUGCACCAAAUUAGAUAUUUUGGUAAUUUGAGCGACGUGCUGAUUAACUUUAUGCACAACUGACCGGGCAGAGCAGACGCUUACAGGAAGAAGCUGUAACAUGUCAAGUUGAAAUAUGCAUUUCUAUCUAUCCCCUUGGAAAUGUGAUUCAAGAUAUAAUUAUGUAUUGGUUACCGUAUAGUAAAUGGGGCUUUUUUCCUAUUGGUGUCAAGCUAUCCCAUUUCUUAUAGCUUUAAUUUUGAUGAUGACUAAACUGAACCCCAACCAUACUUCUAUUUUGACCAAUAUGACAUUAAUCUAUGCCAGGUUGUAUGUA